UGCAAGUCGAACGGACCAGUUAAUUUAUUAGCUGGUCAGUGGCGAAAGGGUGAGUAAUGGAUAGGUAACGUGCCCCGUACUCUGGGAUAGCCAUCCGAAAGGGUGGGUAAUACCGGAUAAUAUCACCGAUCGAUGGGUUGGUGAUCAAAGAUUUAUCGGCGCGGGAGCGGCCUAUCUCCUAUCAGCUAGUUGGUGAGGUAACGGCCCACCAAGGCGAAGACGGGUAGCGGGACUGAGAGGUUGGCCCGCCACAUCGGAACUGAGAUACUGUCCGGACCCCCACGGGGGGCUGCAGUAACGGAUAUUGGGCAAUGGGCGAAAGCCUGACCCAGCGACGCCGCGUGCGGGAGGAAGUCCUUCGGGAUGUAAACCGCUGUCAGGGGGAAGAAAGUCCGUUUCGGCGGAUUGAUCUAACCCAGAGGAAGUCACGGCUAACUCUGUGCCAGCAGCCGCGGUAAGACAGAGGUGGCUAGCGUUGUUCGGUAUCACUGGGCUUAAAGCGUGUGUAGGCGGAAGCGUAAGCAUUUUGUGAAAUCCCCCGGCUUAACCGGGGAAUUGCUUGAUGUACUGCGUUUCUUGAGGCAGGUAGGGGUGCGAGGAACUCUUGGUGGAGCGGUGGAAUGCGUAGAUAUCAAGAGGAACGCCGGUGGUGAAGACGUCGCACUGGGCCUGUCCUGACGCUGAGACACGAAAGCGUGGGGAGCGAACGGGAUUAGAUACCCCGGUAGUCCACGCCGUA
rnacentral:rRNA from 1 species